GAGGGGACAUUAGGACUUAGCACGAGAGCCACCGGGCUCUGGGCUGCGGAGGAGGUUGGAGGUGACCUUCCAGAAGGAACGUGGGACAAGGGAGCAAGUGAGGACCUGGUGGGUAGUGGUUACUCUGUGAGAAGCCAGCAGCACCAACCAAAUAGAAGGUGGAGAAGUGGCCCCCAGCUUCCCAGUUUGGGUUUGGGCCAAGACAACUAAGAAAAGGGUCCACCGUCUUCACUCCAGGUCAGCACAAGAAAGCUGCCAUGAUGGCUCCUGUGGAGAGACUCCCAUGCCUGCAGGUGGAAACCGAGGGGAUGAAGAUGAGAAGACCUCUACCCGGCACUGGUUUGGAAAACAGAGGACUGUCCCCUGAGCCUGCCAGCGAGUCACAUGUUUGGGUCCCUCAGCAGCCAGAGAAACGAUGAUACAGGACACUGGGGCAGGACAAAGGAGUGUGGCAGUAUUGUGGCCUCCAUGCAGAUGGUAGUGUGUGGCUCCAUUGUCUCUGCUGUGUGGAUGAGGAGCCUUAGCUCUGAGAAGAAGAGCCUUUCACAUCCUCACAACUUGUCCCAAUAGCACUGAACUCUUUUGAUCUGGAGAGAUCUGGAGGAGGGUCUUCAAGUGGGUUCUGACUCAUCCUCUACCAUACAGACAUAAGGCAGGCAGAAGGAGAGAUCAGGUGACUGGUGAGGUCACUGUGACCCCAUAGACAGUGUCUCGGGAAGAAAGGCAAGCAGGUAGGCAGGACAAAUGUGCCUAGAACUCGGCACAGGGAACCUCCAGUCAAAAUGUUCCUCCCUAAACUGUCCAGCCCCAGACCACAGUCCUCCAUUUCAAGCCCGUUUCAGACCAGUUAGCUGAGACACUUAGCUUGGAAGUCCAGAUGACCCUGCAUUGUAUCAAGUAGAAAAAUGUCUAACCAAGACAGAGGAGAAUACGAACCCUCUCAGCUCAUAGACAGGUGAUGAUGUGGUUUCCAACUGACUUUCAAGCAAACAGAUUUCCAAGCGUGCUUGAAGAGGGCAGUAAAUGAGAAGGCACAAGACUCUUACUCUGAAGGAGGACGAUCAGAACGGCAUAGCUGCCUUCUUGGCCUGUCACAGAAUUAAAUGGCAAAGGGUUCCGAGGACUAUCUAGCAUAUACUGCUGUCACUACAGGGGCGUGGUCUGUAAGAGGGAUAACCCAGCCCCCUAAUAAGGCAAGCAUGUCAUUUUCUGUGACAGAUGCAAGAAGAGAGAGGGGUUUGCUGGAAAUCGUGGCUGACCACCUCAGAAGGACCCAGAAGACCCGAACUUUCUGGUUUUGCCUUUCACCUUGCUCUGAAACUUCUCCCAACACUGGAAGACAAGAAAGUUCCGCCCUACCUCCGCCCCACCUCCGCCCCCCGGACCAGGGAGAUUCUUCUCUUUGGGCAAGCAGGCUUGCUGGGCAAUCGUGAGCUGCUGAGUUCCCAUCCCCAUAGAAAGCUGGACAUGGACAUGCAUGCCUGUUUCUGCAGCAUGCUCAACUCCAGGAGCUCUCUGGUCUCCUAUAAAUAAAGGAUAACACAUUCGGCCUUCUUACCAUUU
rnacentral:lncRNA from 1 species